CAGCAACCCCCACUUUCUUUCACCCCCUAUUCUUUUUGGUGAAAGCCGCCAUCGCUGGUGAGCUCUCCCUGUUGCUUCUCCUCUCUUCUCCUCCUUUUUAUUUUCCUCCUCUCUCCUAUAAUAGAAGGUUGCGACCAGCGGCUCCAGCAACUGGAGAAUAGAAGCAACACCGUCCAGCAGCAACGGAGGCUCGCACUUGCCGACUCCUCUCUUCUCUCUUCUCCAGGAGAAGAACCGGUGAGCUCCGACCAGAGGGCGCCAGCUCGGACAGCCAGUAGAUGGUGUUGCUCCAUCGGCUUCUCUCUUCUCAUUUCUGGCGAGAACAAUAGCUAGCAACAAUAACAACCAUCUUCGGGGAAAAACAGGCAGCGAGGAGACACCACCAGCAGCGCAAGAAGAUCAAGAACGACAAUAAUGAAAACUUCUCGCUGCCAAUGUUCUGAACCAGAGAUAAAAGUGAAGUAUUGGACAAGGACUAAUCUCUAUAGAUCAGUCCCAGGUUCCAGUUGUUGAAGGGCUUCUCGAGACGACUUGAAGAAGACUCGAAUCUCUUAUUCAUCCAAGUAGGGUAGGUCCUCAAUUCCGAGGGAGAUUACACUUAGUUAAAAACUUUUAUGGUUCUUUCUUUUCCAUUUAGUAUGAAAUUGUAUAUCCCAUGUGAGGCAUUCUUACUUUGAUGUAUGGGCUAGGACCAAUUUUAAAUACUCUUAUUAGAUGGUUAUGAG
rnacentral:misc_RNA from 1 species